CUUGGCAGUCACGGCCCAACUGUCCUUCCCAGUCUGCGCGGGGGCAACCUGUGUAGCUUUGGAGGCACUGGGACUUGUCUUGGCUCUUCUGGACCUCUUACAGUGGGGCCCCCUCUCCAUGUUUUAAGGAUGCUUGAGUUGUGGGGGUGGGUGGGGAGGCCCCGUGAGGAGGAGCUGUCACCUGGGGUGACACCAGCAUCGACUGGCCAGGCAUUGAGGAGUGGGCCCUCCUGCUCCCGGCUGGCCUGGGCCAAAUCUUGCUGCAGCCUUAGGAAGAACUGAGCGGAGCCGUCCAGCAAAGCUGUUCUCCAUCCUCAGAAACGUGAGAGCCAAAACACUGACUGUUUUUAGCACCGGCUUGGGGGGAUGAUUUGUCAGUAGCUACAGGUGACUGAGAAACCUCGUCAAAUGCAGAUUCUCUAACAACCCGCUGCCAAUUAAGACCUAAUGAUUUGGCAUUUUAAUAAGAUCCAGGUGCUGCCAGUGGGCGGGGCCGCCCCGGGUCCACAAGGAGGAGGAUGAGAGGCAGGAACACAAAUUAGUGAGGCGUCUGCGCCUCCGCCCACGGGAGGGUCAGAGCAGCCAGGAGGACGGAGGGCAGCCCAGCACAGCUUGGCCCGCCGGGGGUGCCAGGCCUGGCAGGGAAGGAUGCAGUGGUGGAGCCCCAAGCUUCCCCGGAAUGCUUUGCAGCAGAAAAUUAGGUGACCUGUACUUCCUUGAUUCUCCCACACAGCACAGCCUGAAGGAGGGUCAUUAAUCAUCACGUCCAUUGUCCACCGGGCAUGCUGGGCCUGGUUCUGCCACUUGGGAAGCCUCUCUCUUCAGGUCUCCCUGGCGCGAGCUGCUGAGUGGACAGAAGUCGGCGGUCCUCUGACAGGCUGCUGCCCUCCUCAUUCACAUCCAGACUGCUAAGCUCUCUCUGGCCCAGCUGAUAAUUGGAUAGAAAUUCUGCAGGAGACUCAGCUCACUCCAUUCAGCGUGGCUUUCCACUCCUCUUUGCAUCAGGUAUGCUAAAGUUUAUCUUAAAUUUCGAAAACUUGGAUUGAGAUUAAGUGCUGGGAUUCCUCCUUGCAAGGCCUCAUCCUGGCUUCUUGGGUGAUCUCUGUGAACCUCGCAGUUUUGACUGCAGUGCAACUGCUGCAAGAUUUUAGAUUUUUGAGCCUGUUGCAUAGAGGUGUAUGAAUUUGAUUGGGGAAACUUACAGUAGUUUGGGUGGGCAUGCUCCCAGUUUUUCUUUGUUCAAAAUGCAUAUUUUCAUAUUUGUGCAUGUUGAGUGAGAAAGCAAAGACUGAAUCAUUCAUAACUGGUCUUAUUGCUUUUGAUCACAUCAUAACUAUGGCAAAACCACAGGAUGCCAACAAGACUUUACUGUCUUAUUUCUCCUAUUGGUCGUAAGUUCUUAAGGCAAUACCUGACUCGUUUUCGACAUCUUGCAAGACUAGUUCCAUACCUUACAAGUAGCAAGUUAUCAAAAACUUUAUGAAUUAAGUGAAUAAUAUUAAUAAGAAAAAAACUAAGCCCUUGGUAUCUCAAAGUUGUUGGUUUUUAGCCAGUGGUGUACAAGCAAUGGGAGCUAUCCACACUGAGCUUUUUUUUUUUUUUUUGCCUCUUUGCCUCCCAAUAUUAGAAGAAAAUGAUCUGAUAAUCAGAAGUUUUGUCCUUAUGUGAAAGAAGCAAAGAUUUUUAUCAUUUAUUCCUGAAUUGACUUCUGUACUCAGGAAGCUGUUUCAAAAACCAAGUUGCAUUUCUGAAUCUGGAAAGAAAGCUGGGAAUUGUGUGCCAGCCUCUGUGAGUAAACACCUACUGAUCUCUUGACCCAAAUGCAGUGGGUCUGGAAUUUUGAGCUGCUUCUCCAGGCGCAGUAAUGGAUUUGCUUCCAUCCUUCAAUAGUCCCAUACAUUUGUCUCAUCACCAUUGUGCUAAACAAGUAAUUUCAACGCAUUUUUGAAACAAUGGUUGGACUUGGAGGUACAUGCUGGGCAGUUAGACGAGAUCAAUAUAAUUGGUCCAUUUGAGGCUUGAACCUGCGGUCAUGACCUCAUCAAUAUCAUAUUCUAACAAAUCUCUUUGCAUAAAUACAUUGGCAAACCUUUCCAUGAGGAAACAUAUAUGAAAGGACACAAGCACAAAUAUGUGUGUUAUACAAAGAUUAAGUGUGUGCAUGAGCAUGUAUGUAUAACAACAGUUUCUGUGGCUCUUUUGAAGUUCUGAUAAUCUGAUUUGUCCUAGAAACUCCUAGGUUCUUCUCCACAUGUCAAUUAAUGUCUAUCUAAACGUAGACUCACACCUUUAGAGAAGGUCAAAACAAUAAGCCUUUCCCCCUUAGUGCUUCUCUUGAGGCGCUCAGCUCCUUGCUCUAAACUCUCCUUCCCCAAUUCCCAGCUUCUCCCUCCCUCCUUCCUCUCUCUCUCCCCAUUUUCUCUCCCCCCUUCUCCCCCUCCACCCUCCUCCCUUCCUUCCUUCCCUCUGUCCACAAGUCGUGUUGAACCAGAGACGGUUUUAGUGACUGUGACGACAGGGUGAACAAUUCCUGCCUUCAUCGGAUGUGUAUUGUCUCAUGGAAAGAGAAACAAGAAAGAAGGCCUCUCUGAGUAGACAACAUUCAAGCAAAGACCUGAAGAAGCAGAAAGACAAGAAGUUGACAUCUGAAUCUCCGCGACCUCCCCCAACUUAAUCUUCAAAGACAAUGGUGAUGACUGUAUGCUCUGACCCUCUACGGAAAGAGAAUCUGCUAGACAAUGAGGAAGCUCUGUACAGCUUCUCUUGGGCAUAUCUGAAUUGCCAGCAUCGCUACUCUCACGCUUGGGGGCUAUUAUUAAGUCAAAUAACAGCCACUUGAACACAAACCCUGUGAUACCUUGACAACGACCUAGAAGGCUACCGAGUGAGUGACGGCUGGGAUGCCCUGAGCAAGAGAUGAUUCACAUCCCCAGCAGGACAGAGCAGAACGGAAGGCGCAAGGUUUCAUCACAAUACUCACAAUGGUGCACGAUUUAGAAUUUAUGAGUUGUUUAUUUCUGUAAUUUUCCACUUCAUAUUAUUGGACUGAGGUCGACUGCAGGUACGGAAACCAUGAAAACUGCGGCUGGGGGUGGGGUGGAAACUGCUGAAGCAAGGCUUGUGUCAAGCUGAAGCAGAGCAACAAAUUGUUAACAGAGUCAAAGCUGAAAAAGGCUUCCCUUUGGGGUGAAAACAGCCCCAAGGACAUCGAACUUGACAAGCUGAUAGGAUCUUUGUAGCAACAGACAUCUCUUCUUCUGGAAUGGGACCACCUGCUUUCAGCACCCAUUUACUUUCUCAGCAGAGUACUCAUGUACAGUGAAUACUCUCUACGAUGUAUGUAUUGUCCUUUUUUCAUUUUUUUCCCCCUGGGCUAGGGAUCAAACCCAUACCACAGCAUCAACCCUUGCCACUGCAGUUACAACACCAGUCCUUAACCCAGUGUGCCACAAGGGAAAUCCCUGUGUACUCUUCUUGAGUUAUAAAAUGAGAUAUAUUGGAAAAGAGUAUUGAUAUAGAAAUAGAGAAAAUUUGUGGGAAAUGCAUCAAGAUGAUAAUUGUGGUUGUCCUCACAGCAGACCCCAGCGUUACCUCACUGCCCUCAUUUCCUAGAAUGGGCAUGUAUUAACUUAUAAUAGAAAAAAAACUAAACUAAACCUUUUCUCAGUAUCUUAGAAAAAAGCAUUACCAAAAAACGAGUGAAUAAAUAAACUAUCAAAUGGA